rnacentral:rRNA from 1 species
CCUACGGGUGGCAGCAGUGGGGAAUAUUGGACAAUGGGCGAAAGCCUGAUCCAGCCAUGCCGCGUGUGUGAAGAAGGCCUUCGGGUUGUAAAGCACUUUCAGUGGGGAAGAAAGCCUUGGGGCUAAUACCCUCGAGGAAGGACAUCACCCACAGAAGAAGCACCGGCUAACUCCGUGCCAGCAGCCGCGGUAAUACGGAGGGUGCGAGCGUUAAUCGGAAUUACUGGGCGUAAAGCGCGCGUAUGCGGUCUGAUAAGCCGGUUGUGAAAGCCCCGGGCUCAACCUGGGAACGGCAUCCGGAACUGUCAGGCUAGAGUGCAGGAGAGGAAGGUAGAAUUCCCGGUGUAGCGGUGAAAUGCGUAGAGAUCGGGAGGAAUACCAGUGGCGAAGGCGGCCUUCUGGACUGACACUGACGCUGAGGUGCGAAAGCGUGGGUAGCAAACAGGAUUAGAUACCCGGGUAGUC